GACGAACGCUGGCGGCGUGCCUAAUACAUGCAAGUUGAGCGCUGAAGGUUGGUACUUGUACCAACUGGAUGAGCAGCGAACGGGUGAGUAACGCGUGGGGAAUCUGCCUUUGAGCGGGGGACAACAUUUGGAAACGAAUGCUAAUACCGCAUAAAAACUUUAAACACAAGUUUUAAGUUUGAAAGAUGCAAUUGCAUCACUCAAAGAUGAUCCCGCGUUGUAUUAGCUAGUUGGUGAGGUAAAGGCUCACCAAGGCGAUGAUACAUAGCCGACCUGAGAGGGUGAUCGGCCACAUUGGGACUGAGACACGGCCCAAACUCCUACGGGAGGCAGCAGUAGGGAAUCUUCGGCAAUGGACGAAAGUCUGACCGAGCAACGCCGCGUGAGUGAAGAAGGUUUUCGGAUCGUAAAACUCUGUUGGUAGAGAAGAACGUUGGUGAGAGUGGAAAGCACAUCAAGUGACGGUAACUACCCAGAAAGGGACGGCUAACUACGUG
rnacentral:rRNA from 1 species